UAGAGGGAUGCACUGAAGCGAUGGGAAGUCCAUCACCGCCACUACCGGAUCUCUCUCUCCUUCCCCACCGUCGUCACCAUCUCACGACGGUCGCCGGAGGGAACUCAUCGAGAAGCUACAAGGUAUUAAUCUACUACCGCCUCCGAACACAUCUAGCCUUGACGAUCCACGGGAUCUAUCACACACUUCAGAGCAUGCACGCCACCGGUACGAAUAGUUUUUUUUUUUGGGUGCCGGUAUGUACCGAUGAGUGAUCUAUCUACCACACAAGGUUGCAUUUAGAUCGGUGCUGGGUUGGACCCACCUAGAUUCUGUUUUCUUUUUUUCCGAUGAUGAUACAAGACGUAUACGAAAGGAAUACAUCGACAGGGCCCAACGAUAAACCUCCUUCUCUAACAACCAGUAACGAAUCUAGAACGAAAUUGCAACGUAGGCUCAAAACAUCAUGUUUUUAGUUUAACUAGUAAAUGCAUUGCAAUUCAUACUAUAUAAACACCUUAGUAUAAUUGUCAAGUAUUCCUUUCGUCUCAAAAUAAGUGUCGUUGAUUUAGUAUAUAAAAUUUAUACUAACUUAAUACAACUUUUACGAUACUUAUUUUGAUAUGAACGGAGUAGUAUAUUUAGCUAAAAUAAAAAAAAAUUGAAGGAUAGGCUUAGGCCCUGUUUGAUAACAAAGAAUUUUCGUAGUAUUUUUAGAAUACUGCAGUUUUGGAGAUUAUCAUAGUUUUAUUUACAAUGAGGUGUUUGGUUGCCUCUAAGAAUUGUGAUUUUAAAACUGCAGUAUUGAAAAAACUGUGGUUUUUUCUCUGCAUAAAAAAAAGAACCCCAGACCUCUUUUUAAAAAACAGAGAAGGCGAAAAGAAGGGGUGGGACGUCGUUAUCUUCUUCCCGUGUACUUGCUCGAUCUAAACUACAGUAAUAUGUGGCGUAAUCAAACAGUUUCUCUACAUUGUGAAUACUGCAAAAAAUGUUGUUAUAUUAAAACCAUGGUAUUUUCUAUCUACACAUAAAAUUACUGCAGUUUUUAAUACUUUAGUUUUUUUACUACUUUGUUAUCAAACAGAGCCUUAAGCUUAUUGAAACCUCCUAAUGGAAUCGUCAGCACACCGUACCAGCAGAAUAAUCGAUGGGGGAUUAACUAGGCGCCAGCCCCAACUCCGGCCAGCGGGUCCACUUCCCCGUCCAGUUGUCAGCCCAGCUACGGCGGAUUCAUGGUCGGACGACCUUGUCUUCACCCGAGAUCCAGCGAAGCAGUUUGGCGGCGACGACGUGGCUUUCCCGGCCAGCGGGAGGCCCCCGUCCUCCUUCGUCCUUGCUGCCCGUCCGCUGUCCUCGCCAUGAGCGGAUCUUGCAGAGCGUCCACCACGACGCGUCCCUGCGGAAGGUCGCCUUCGGAUCUGACUAGUCCAAUCAUGGCCGCCACCGGAUCCCUUCCCCUUCCCCUCUCUCGCGGACCCGACUGCACCGCGAUGAACCAAUGGCCAUGCCCGACCUCUCAACAACAGGAACCCUUCUGGCGACCUCUCUGUGUUCCUCAUGAAAUUGGUUUUGUUGUGCAUGAUUUAAACUUGCCUUGUUUUUUUUCUAGAUGGUUGGCAUUCCCUGCUUCGUGAAAUGGAUAUGAAACAAUUUGUUCUGAACUUUGUGAAAUCGUUCACAAAUUUGUGGAAUCAUGGAACAUAUUAUCAAAUCUUGAAACUGGUGUGUACAAAUAUGCAGAACGUGUGAAACUAGCUUCAGAAUACGUGUGAGAUUUAAUUUCUGGUAUAUGCCUUUGUGAAAACAGGGACAGAUGCAUCAUAGUUUGAAAAUUGGCCUAACUGACAUAACAUUGUACGAUAAUAAAAUUGUUGUUGAAAGGAUUGAAAUCUUAUUUUUUAAAUAGUAACUUUCAGUCUUUUGUACAGUAUGACAGUGAAUUUGGUUUUCACAAUGAAUGAGUGAAAAAAUCGAGAGCAACUAGGUAGCGAACGCUUCUUUAGGAGCUCCUAACGAGCACUCCCACGCGCCGUCAUUUAGCGCGUUUUCAGCCGCCGUCAUGUGUCGCGUUCUAAGCGAUUUUUUUGGAUUUUGUUUUUUUAUUUUUCCACACGCGUUUUCAGCUAUUUAGAUUGUUUUUUUUGUGUGUGUGUUUCGGUGUAAAAGGUUUUUCACACGUCUUUCACACGCCACUCGUUUCAAAUAUGUACUCCUCUCAAUUAAAAACUGCCUCCCACGUUUCGAAGGGGCGACCCUCAGAAUUGGUCCGAAAUCACUCUCUCGCAAAACAUACCGCUUCGGCCCGCGAAAUAGAAAAGGAAGCCAGCCAGAAGGGGAACGGGAGGGGCGAACAAGAGCCGACCUAGCAGGCAACCAGGCGGCCGGCGGCGGGGGCGACCACCACGGCGGCCAGUGGUGGUGCAGCUUGAUACCUGAUUUGGCCGAGGAAGACAUGCUUCGAUGUUAUGGGAAGUUGGUACUCAAUGAUCGUCUGUUUCAAGCUCUAAAGGAGCUGCCCGUCACCAUGAGGAAGACAUGGCUGCUAAUGGUGCCUUGAAGCUUGAUGCUUUUCUGAUAUGUGUGUGUUCUUGUAUGUCUUAUUGAACAUCGAACUAUCUAUUUUAUGCCCUAUUGAACUUGGAACAAUUUAUGUACUACUGCCACGCACUGUUUCUGUUAAGCAUUUGGACCUAUCCAUUUGAAUGAUUGUGAUUUAUGUCCUGUACGAGACCAUAUUUGAGAGUAUGUGCUGUUUGUUAUUGUAUUAAAUUUGUGUUAUGUUAUCGUAAGAAAAUAUUGUUGUCAUUGUA